rnacentral:rRNA from 1 species
AGCGAACGCUGGCGGCAGGCUUAACACAUGCAAGUCGAGCGGGCAUAGCAAUAUGUCAGCGGCAGACGGGUGAGUAACGCGUGGGAACGUACCUUUUGGUUCGGAACAACACAGGGAAACUUGUGCUAAUACCGGAUAAGCCCUUACGGGGAAAGAUUUAUCGCCGAAAGAUCGGCCCGCGUCUGAUUAGCUAGUUGGUGAGGUAAUGGCUCACCAAGGCGACGAUCAGUAGCUGGUCUGAGAGGAUGAUCAGCCACAUUGGGACUGAGACACGGCCCAAACUCCUACGGGAGGCAGCAGUGGGGAAUAUUGGACAAUGGGCGCAAGCCUGAUCCAGCCAUGCCGCGUGAGUGAUGAAGGCCCUAGGGUUGUAAAGCUCUUUUGUGCGGGAAGAUAAUGACGGUACCGCAAGAAUAAGCCCCGGCUAACUUCGU